GACGUAGGGCGCGAGCGUUGUCCGGAUUUAUUGGGCGUAAAGAGCUCGUAGGCGGCUUGUCGCGUCGAAUGUGAAAUCUCAGGGCUCAACUCUGACAUUGCAUUCGAUACGGGCAGGCUAGAGUUCGGUAGGGGAGACUGGAAUUCCUGGUGUAGCGGUGAAAUGCGCAGAUAUCAGGAGGAACACCGAUGGUGAAGGCAGGUCUCUGGGCCGAUACUGACGCUGAGGAGCGAAAGCGUGGGGAGCGAACAGG
rnacentral:rRNA from 1 species